GGCUCCUUCAGACCGCCAGGUAACGCGCGCGCGCGCCAACGGCUCCCCUCACGGCCAUCAACUUCCUCAAGGAGGAGAGCGGGCACCCUGCACCCCCCCGGCGUCUCUCCCCGCUGCGGCACCGGAGGGCGGCCGGCCAAAGAGACCGCCUGACUGCCGCUCACCUCGCACAGGUGCCGUGCUGGAAACAGUGCUUGGGGAAGGUUGACCUAAAAGGGGUGUAAUGGUCCUGUAUUUCCAGACCUCUGUGAUCUUGGGAAAGAUCUACAGUAGCCUUCUAAGCCAUUCGCUGAGGAAACUCAGGUACUAAGGUCCAGGAAAAGCAACUUCAAAUAGUGACUGUACUUGGAUAUCUCUUCAGUGGUUUCCUGGUAUAGAAGAUUCCAAAUAUACUAAAUGUUGAUUGUCUUUCCUU